ACUAAAAAAGGAAAAAAAG
rnacentral:sRNA from 1 species